GGACUACCAGGGUAUCUAAUCCUGUUUGCUCCCCUAGCUUUCGUCUCUCAGCGUCAGUUGCGGUCCAGUGAGCCGCCUUCGCCUCUGGUGUUCCUGCAGAUAUCUACGCAUUUCACCGCUACACCUGCAAUUCCACUCACCUCUCCCGCACUCCAGCACGGCAGUUUCGGAGGCAGUCCCUGAGUUAAGCCCAGGGAUUUCACUCCCGACUUGCCGCACCGCCUACAGACCCUUUACGCCCAGUUAUUCCGAGCAACGCUGGCCCCCUACGUCUUACCGCGGCGGCUGGCAC
rnacentral:rRNA from 1 species